rnacentral:rRNA from 1 species
ACCUGGUUGAUCCUGCCAGUAGUCAUAUGCUUGUCUCAAAGAUUAAGCCAUGCAAGUGUAAGUUCACGUCACGAUUAAGAACGGGCGAAACCGCGAAUGGCUCAGGAACCGGACCUAAUCCUCGGGACCGUAUUCCUCCACGGAGGGAAGUGGAUAACUGUGGUAAUUCUAGAGCUAAUACAUGCAACUAAAGUCUCGAUCUUCGUACGGUAGGUGUAUCGAACCAUAUGUCGUUAUUUGAUUUCACGCUCUCUAGUCGGCGCACGCCGCACGCACUUCUUCUUCUUCUUCCGAAUGUGUGGUAUCGAGUGCAUGCGGUUUCCUCUGUUAAAGGGGUUGUCGUUUUCUCUUACCAUCCGCCGUUGGUUGUAGUUGUAGUCGUCGCGUUGUCGUCGUUGUCGUCUUAGUUGUCGUGUAUCGGUAUUGUCGCGUUUUUUACUCUCCUCCGAACGACGCCUUUGAUCGCGGCGCAACAUAUUAGACUGAGACCGAUGCGUUUUGUUGGUCGUCGAAGUCACGUUGGUACGCUGGCACUAACGCACAUACACCACCGCUGCAGCAGCACACACGUGUACAUACGCACACACGCGCGCACGGUUACGUAUUCGUACGUUGUCGUUGUGUUGUUGUUGUGUGUGCCGCCUCUGUUACGUCGUCGUCGUUGUUUUUUGUUGUGGUGUGUGUGCCGCCUCUGUCGUUGUCGUCCUCGUUGUUCCUUUCGGCGCAUCCGACGCGCUCGCUUUUUUGGUGACUCUGGAUAACAUAAUUGUCGAUCGCUAUGGGUCUUUUGUACCUGGCGACGGGUCCCCCGAGGGUCCGCCCUAUCAACUGUCGACGGUCGGAUAAUUGCCUACCGUGGUUACAACGGGUAACGGGGAAUCGGGGUUCGAUUCCGGAGAGGGAGCAUGCGAAACGGCUACCACAUCCAAGGAAGGCAGCAGGCGCGCAAAUUACCCACUCCCGGCACGGGGAGGUAGUGACGAAAAAUAACGACGCGGGACUCUGUCGAGGCCCCGCGAUCGGAAUGGGUACACUUUAAAUCGGUUAACGAGUAUCAACCGGAGGGCAAGUCUGGUGCCAGCAGCCGCGGUAAUUCCAGCUCCGGUAGCGUAUAUUAAAUUUGUUGCGGUUAAAAAGCUCGUAGUCGGAACUCGGGUCUAAAAAAAAAAAAAGAACAAAGUGAAAAGCGUAGUAAAAUACGUUUAGAUCUUUCUCUUUUUUUUUCGGGGCGUCGGCACCAUCGUUCGAGUCCGGACUUUGGUUGUUUUAUCCGCACGCACACCCGGCCCUAUCCGCCGGUACGGACGAGGGAAGGCCAUUCGUGAUAAUCGUCUGUUACUGGUUUAAUGCGAUGAUUACGUGAGUAUAAGUAGUAUUAUUAUUAUUAUUAUUAUUAUAUUAAUUAUUUUUUGUGCGUUGGAUUUAGAGAGAAGAAAAAAAAAAAAAAUUGAAAUGUUGUUGUUUUAUAUAUCUAUCUAAUAUAUAUCUAUUCGACAGGAGGGUGCGCGUGUGCUUUGGUGUGUGAGGUGUGUUGUGGUCGAUUAAUGGUGCUUAAUAAUAAUUUUAGUGUUGGUCGUCGUUGUUGUUGUUGUUGUUGUUGUAUUUUUUUUCGUUGUGGCUCUUCUUCUUAUACGUGAUGUCGUUGCCGUUAUAAUUUUUGUUAUAAUGCGCAGUGUUCGUAGAUGAAGAAACUACUAUGAAACUACUACUACUACUACUACUCUACUACUAACUACUUCCUUCUUUCUAUUUUUAUUUUUCCGUUAAUUUCCCCUCAUCCCUCUCUACUUUUUUUCACCCACUAAUUCCUGCUGAUGCCAACGAUGUGUGUUGAUGUGUGCCAUUUAAUAACUUGUUUUUUUUUUGGCUUUUUUUUGGAUCUUUUUAUCUUAUUUCAAAAUUUAUGACUAUAUAUAUAUAUAUAUUAUUAUUAUAUAUCUUUACUUUCUCAAAGUCCAUUACGAUAUACUGGUCAGCGCACGUAUGGUAAAACGGUUCGCGUCGUGCCCUUCGUCUGAUUUCCUCCGAGGGUGCUCUUCACCGAGUGUCCGAGGCGGCCGGUACGUUCACUUUGAAAAAAUUAGAGUGCUCAGAGCGAGCUUUGUUCGGCUUGCAUACGAUAAGCAUGGAAUGAUAGAAAAGGGCCUCGUCCACGUCUAUCGGUCUCCGUUUACGACGAGGCAAUGAUCGAAGGGAGCGGUCGGGGCCACUCGUAUUGCGACGUUAGAGGUGAAAUUCUUGGAUCGUCGCAAGACGCACUGCAGCGAUGGCGUGUGGCAAGCACGUUUUCCUCGAUCAAGAGCGAAAGUCGGAGGUUCGAAGACGAUCAGAUACCGUCGUAGUUCCGACCGUAAACGAUGCCGACUGGCGAUCCGCCGGCGUUCGCUUCGAUGACCCGGCGGGUAGCCUGCGGGAAACCAGAGCUGGUUCCGGGGGGAGUAUGGUUGCAAAAUCGAAACUUAAAGGAAUUGACGGAAGGGCACCACCAGGAGUGGAGCCU